UACAGAGGGUGCAAGCGUUAAUCGGAAUUACUUGGCGUAAAGCGUGCGCAGGCGGCUUUGCAAGACAGAUGUGAAAUCCCCGGGCUCAACCUGGGAAUGGCAUUUGUGACUGUCCGGCUAGAGUGUGUCAGAGGGGGGUAGAAUUCCACGUGUAGCAGUGAAAUGCGUAGAGAUGUGGAGGAAUACCGAUGGCGAAGGCAGCCCCCUGGGAUAACACUGACGCUCAUGCACGAAAGCGUGGGGAGCAAACAGG
rnacentral:rRNA from 1 species